rnacentral:snRNA from 1 species
AGAUGUGAGGAUGAUCUGGCUGCGACAUCUGUCACCCCAUUGAUCACCAGGGUUGAUUCGGCUCAUCUGGCUGGCUAGGCAGGUGUCCCCUUCCUCCCUCAACGAUCUAUGUUUGUCCCUCCCGAAGCUGUACACUUGGUCGAAGAGGACAACCACCCCCGAUAAAGGAGGACCGUCCUCAGUCAAGGGUAUACGAGUAGCUGUGCUCCCCUGCUAGAACCUCCAAACAAGCUCUCAAGAAAAAGGAGAAAAGAGGGAAAAUAUAGAAAUAAAGCUUUGUAAAU